rnacentral:rRNA from 1 species
UGAAUACGAGAUGCUACGGCGUCGAAGCAGUGUAUGUCAUACUUCCAAGAAAAGCUCGCUAUGUCAUAAACAAUUAAUGCCUGUACCGUAACCGACACAGGUGGGUAGGUAGAGUAUACUAAGGGGCGCGAGAUAACUCUCUCUAAGGAACUCGGCAAAAUGACUCCGUAACUUCGGGAGAAGGAGUACCUUAUUUAUAAGGUUGCAAUAACAAGAUCCAAGCAACUGUUUACCAAAAACACAGGUCUCCGCUAAGUCGUAAGACGAUGUAUGGGGGCUGACGCCUGCCCAGUGCCAGAAGGUUAAAGAAGUUGGUUAGCAUUCGCGAAGCUGAUGACUGAAGCCCUGGUGAACGGCGGCCGUAACUAUAACGGUCCUAAGGUAGCGAAAUUCCUUGUCGGGUAAGUUCCGACCCGCACGAAAGGCGUAAUGAUUUGGAUACUGUCUCGGAGAGGGGCUCGGUGAAAUAGACUUGUCUGUGAAGAUGCGGACUACCUGCACCUGGACAGAAAGACCCUAUGAAGCUUUACUGUAACUUGAGAUUGAAAUUGGACUUUAUUUGUGCAGUAUAGGUGGGAGGCGUUGAAGAAAUUCUUGCGGGAAUUUUGGAGCCAUCAGUGAGAUACCACCCCUAUAAUGUUAGAUUUCUAACUUUGUAUCAUUAUCUGGUCAAAGAACAGUUUCAGGCGGGCAGUUUGACUGGGGCGGUCGCCUCCCAAAUGGUAACGGAGGCGUACAAAGGUUUCCUCUGAACGGGUAGAAAUCGUAUCUAGAGUAUAAAGGCAUAAGGAAGCUUGACUGUGAGACCUACAAGUCGAGCAGGGACGAAAGUCGGUCUUAGUGAUCUGACGGUGCUGAGUGGAAAGGCCGACACUCAACGGAUAAAAGUUACUCUAGGAUAACAGGCUGAUCUCCCCCAAGAGUUCACAUCGACGGGGAGGUUUGGCACCUCGAUGUCGGCUCAUCGCAUCCUGGGGCGGUAGUACGUCCCAAGGGUUGGGCUGUUCGCCCAUGAAAGCGGUACGCGAGCUGGGUUCAGAACGUCGUGAGACAGUUCGGUCCAUAUCCGGUGUAGGCGUUAGAAUAUUGAGAGGAGCCUUCUUUAGUACGAGAGGACCGAGAAGGACAUACCUCUGGUGUACCAGUUAUCGUGCCAACGGUAAACGCUGGGUAGCUAUGUAUGGAGUGGAUAACCGCUGAAAGCAUCUAAGUGGGAAGCCCACCUCAAGAUAAGUAUUCUCAUC